UCAGAGGAGACCGUGAUAAAUGAAAAGAUGUGGUAUGUGAUAUCUCAAAAUGAGCCAUCACUUCUUCCAAUAUCCUUGGCUUCAAAAUUGUUAACUGAGGACUGCAUGGCAUGUAUUGAUCUUCUUGAAGUCAUGCUGGUGGAACAUUUGCAGAGAAGUAGAAGAAAGAAGAGAGGAGCAGCAGGAGCAGGCAUAUUACAUCAGUGGUGGCAAAAGUAGAAGAAAGAAAAGAAGGGCAGCAGGAGCAAGCAUUAGUAGUGGGCGAAGUGGGCAAGCAAUCAUAAAUAGUCCAAUAAUCACUGUAUCCAUUUCUAGCACACUUAUGUUUUUGUCUCUGAUGCAAUGUAAGACAAUAAAUUGUCACUGAUUCAUGACUUUGUGGAACAAUG